GAAGAGGAUGAGAACCUCCGGGGGCAAGAGGUUCGACUCGAGCGACGCGAGAGAACGUUGCGUCAGCAACGGCCCGCAGGGCGAGCCACGCAGUGGCGAGUCAUCCUCUCCUGGCCUGCU
rnacentral:sRNA from 1 species